GAUUAUGGUAGUUGGUGAGGAAUGGCUCACCAAGCCGAUAAUCGAUAGGGGCCGUGAGAGCGGGAGCCCCGAGAUGGGUACUGAGACAACGACCCAGACCUUACGAGGUGCAGCAGGCGCGAAACCUCCGCAAUACACGAAAGCGUGACGGGGUUACCCAAAUGUUCAUAUUGAACUGUGGUAGGUGAGUAAUGUCCCCUACUAGAAAGGAGAGGGCAAGGCUGGUGCCAGCCGCCGCGGUAAACCAGCUCUUCAAGUGGUCGGGAUAAUUAUUGGGCUUAAAGUGUCCGUAGCCGGUUUAGUAAGUUCCUGGUAAAAUCGGGUAGCUUAACUAUCCGUAUGCUAGGAAUACUGCUAAUACUAGAGGGCGGGAGAGGUCUGAGGUACUACUGGGGUAGGGGUGAAAUCUUAUAAUCCUUGUAGGACCACCAGUGGCGAAGGCGUCAGACUGGAACGCGCCUGACGGUGAGGGACGAAAGCCAGGGGAGCGAACCGGAUUAGAUACCCGGGUAGUCCUGGCCGUAAACGAUGCAUACUAGGUGAUGGCACGGCCAUGAGCCGUGUCAGUGCCGUAGGGAAACCGUUAAGUGUGCCGCCUGGGAAGUACGGUCGCAAGGCUAAAACUUAAAGGAAUUGGCGGGGGAGCACCACAAGGGGUGAAGCCUGCGGUUUAAUUGGACCCAACGCCGGGAAACUUACCAGGGGAGACAGCAGUAUGACGGUCAGGUUGACGACCUUACCCGACGAGCUGAGAGGAGGUGCAUGGCCGUCGCCAGUUCGUGCCGUGAGGUAUCCUGUUAAGUCAGGCAACGAACGAGAUCCGCGCCUUUAUUUGCCAGCAAGAAGUUACGACUUCGUUGGGAACUCUAAAGGGACCGCCACCGAUAAGGUGGAGGAAGGAGCGGGCAAAGGCAGGUCAGUAUGCCCCGAAACCCCUGGGCUACACGCGGGCUGCAAUGGUAUGAACAAUGGGCAGUAACUCCGAAAGGAGAAACCAAUCCCGAAAUCAUAUCUCAGUUGGAAUUGUCGGCUGUAACUCGCUGACAUGAACGUGGAAUCCCUAGUAAUCGUGUGUCAUCAUCGCACGGUGAAUACGUCUCUGCUCCUUGCACACACCGCCCGUCGCUCCAUCCGAGUGUACUAAAAAUGAGGUUUGGUCAGUCUGGUCAUAUCGAGUUUCUAGUAUGCGAGGAGGGAGAAGUCGUAACAAGGUA
rnacentral:rRNA from 1 species